rnacentral:rRNA from 1 species
CAGCCGCCGCGGUAAUACGGAGGGGGCUAGCGUUGUUCGGAAUUACUGGGCGUAAAGCGCGUGUAGGCGGGUCUCUAAGUCAGAGGUGAAAUGCCAAGGCUCAACCUUGGAACUGCCUUUGAUACUGGAGAUCUUGAGUCCGGGAGAGGUGAGUGGAACUGCGAGUGUAGAGGUGAAAUUCGUAGAUAUUGGGAAGAACACCGGUGGCGAAGGCGGCAACCUGGUCCAUUACUGACGCUGAGGCGCGACAGCGUGGGGAGCAAACAGGAUUAGAUACCCGCGUAGUCCCUGUCUCUUAUAC